UGUUUUCUCUUACUAACUUCACCUUCCACAAUGGUUCUCCAGUGGAGUUUCUAGGUUAAACACUUGGAUUAAUUCAUCAUUUUAACAUACUUAGCAACAAGGAUAUAACUAAGGAAAUAAAUAAAUUAGACAGAAUAUGGUGUGGAGCAGAUUAAAUAAUGCUUCAAAUAAUCCACCAGUUUAAGCUUUUUUAUGGGCAUUCUUUUCCCACUUCCAUUAGUUUAUAAUACUCUAUGUUGCUGGAUGAAGCUUCCAACAUUGUGAUGCUACAAUUAGUAAUGAAACUUUCGGUUUUCACAUCAAACACAACUAUUUCAAUUGUACCGAAAUGAGAACAAUAGAACAUGUAGAUAACUCCAUUAAUACAAACUCCCUCCUGUCGACAUAAAUGGGGAACAUUUCCAGACUCCCUCCAUAAUUCGUCUACGCUUGAAGUGAAGACCCACAUUCUUGCGUACAUUUCUUGCCAUCUACGUACCAGGAAAAUAACUUUAUAAAUCUUUGCUUCUGGAUUUGGGAAGAAAUUUUACUUGUCGUGUACUUGGAUUGCAAAUUACAGCAGGUUGCAAUAUCAUCCUCCAGGAAUAAACAGACCAUUAACACACUCCAAAGAGUUAUCAGCGCCGAAACAAUAUAAGAGUUCAUCAAAAUCCUCAAUAUGAGAAAGUGAGGCAGUUGUCCUAUCUUCAUUUUGCUCUGUAGUGUAAAAACGUUUUCUCUCGCGCACGAGCAAUUUGGUUCUGCCAGGGCGAGUCAUAGAGAGGCAUUGUACAUAUCUAUAUAAUCUGGUUCGACGACGAGAGAGUUACAGAAUUUUGAAACACACCUGAAUUGCAUUAAAGACUUGACAGGAAGCCACGAGAACAACUCGAAGAUAAGCUCUUCAGGGAUUGAUAGCGAAGACGUCAUUGCUGCCACGGUGAGGAGUUUAGCAAAACUCUUUCUCCAAAGUUUAUAUGAGAUUUAAGUACGUGCAUUUUAUGCGCUAUACAUGUAUCCUAUUAUCGAUUAAUAAAAAUAUUUAGAAAAAAUGAGGCAUAUAUAUACAUAUAUAUAUAGAGAGAGACAUAUAUGUAUAUAUACAUCUCUAGAUUGUGAAAUGCUUCUGGGGAUAAAUUGAAGAUUAGAUUUAUAGAAAAUUCACAAGGUUGAGGAAAAGGGAGGAGGAGAAACACAUGGUUUUUUGGAGAAGCG
rnacentral:lncRNA from 1 species